GGGGGUCACGUCGGAGGCUUAGAUCCAAGCGGGACGCGCCGCCGCCGCGGCGGCAUCCACCCGCGCCCGGGCCCGGGCACACGCUCGGCCGCGCCGUCCCACGCGCGCCGCGAGCCGCCUGCCGGGGGCCGCCGCGGCGCGGCCGCUUUAUAGCGCUCCUCGGGCGUGACGCGCCGCCGCUGCCGCCUCUGAUUCGCCCGCGGCCCCGGCCCCGAAUAGCUCCCGGCUGAAGUCAGAGCCCGCGCGGGGCCGGGGGCUGCUCCGCUCCCCCGCGCUCCGCGCCUCGAGGGUGCGGGGCGGCCAACACCGCGCGUCCCGGGAGCGCGGAGGGACGCAGCGCAGCCCCCGCCCGAGGCGGGAGCGGCCUCUCCAAACCGCCCCACGCAGCCGGCAUCCCAAGUACUUCUUACACAAGGGCGGCUGGAGAGGCAGUAGGGCUGCCCCGGGCCCUGACGCAACACGGACCCAGCCCCGGAGCUCCUACGGGUAAAGCGGGGGAGUCCUGCGGAAAACCUCCUGGUUGUAGGAAGCUGGGGUGGAGGGUCAGGCCCCGCUGACGAUGAAGGCAGACUCCCUGCAGUCCCUUCCUUCCCUUCUGGCCAAGGGGUAAAGUUCCUUCCUGACCCCAAAUCUGGGGAUCUGUCGGGCCCUGAGCAGACAGGUACCUCCGGCUUCGGUCCCAAUAGGAGCAUGGGCACCCCGUGGUCAAAGUCCCCAGCCUUGGCUGUAGCCAUCACCCAGUGCCUGCAGGAAGGCUUAGAUACACCCUGAUACAUAGCAGAAAGCAUAGCCAGUUUCAGUUUGCGGCCCUGCUCCUUAAAUCUAUAUGACUCACACAGGUGUCCCAACGAAGAAAGCUCUCAAGGUGUUGGUGCCACAGCAUGAAAGAAAACAGGGCCUGGAAAUAGGGUCUAGGACAGGGCAGCAGCCCACACCUAGCAAACCAGCGUCUUCUAGGAAAAGUCGCGAGGCAGCUGAGCAGACCUCCCUGGGAACGUGGGGCUGGGGGGAAAGGAACAGCGUGUGCUGCCGGUGUCCCACCCCUUGGAUAAGGACAGACCUAACUUCAUCUCUCUGCAGUUGGGUUAAUAGGUCUUCCUUACACAAUGAAUUGGUUAAUGAUGCAAUAAAUUACUUUGCCACACCCGCAGAGUAAUUAUGACAUAAUUAACAGCUUAAUUAUGCAGUAAGUUUGGACCACACACCUUCGAAAUAAUGAUAAUGCUAUAAAAGUGAUUACCCAGCUAUAGGAAGAGCUAUCCAGUAUGUAACAACUCUAUGGCCGGCUUCUAUCCAGGUUUAAUUUGAACGUAUAGCAGGGCCCCUAGACUGAGGCUGCAGAAACCUUUAGCACAGUGAAUACUCAGUAGCCCAAUCCAUCAGGGAAAAUUACUGUCAAGUAAUUGGAUUAUUUUUAACCCUUUCCUCAUGGAGCAAUAGAGACAACCCCCUUCAAGACAAAUCAUAACACUUCCCUUCCUCAGACCAUUUGUAUUUAGCUGGUCUUAUUUUUUCCUUAGCGCAGUUGCAGCUGGUUAAGGAAUUGCUCCCUAAGCUUUGCUGAUAGAAUUGAUGAAGCGGGAGAUGAGAGCCCCAUUUCAUUUGAUGCCUGUUAAAAAGAGCGAGCGAAAGCAGUGUGUUCCAAGUGGAGUGGGACAGACCUGAUUGAUAGACAUCGCCAAGCCCCUAAGAGGAUAUUACCAACAAUGGGAGAUAAUCAGCUCUGGAAAAUCCCUUAGUGGUACUCCAGGAUCGUGUAUAAUGAAGCCUUGGUUCUGUGCUAUGAAGCGGCAGUGAAGGAAGCAACAAAAGCUGCUUUAGAAAGUUGAAAAGGAACGCUGUCAUUAAAUGGAGUGCAGUGGGCUCCAAGGAGAGUUUUCUGUAAGAAACACCACCAGGCCCUCAUUCAGACAAGGAGACAAACCAGCCCCUGGCAGAACAAAUGGCAGGAAUGUAUAUUGAGAGCGACUUCCCUAACCAACACAUAAUAGCAGGGAAAGGGGGAAAAAAACUUGGAAAUUUAGAGUAUUACCGACUCAGAAAGGCAGGACUCAUUCUGCUUUCGUUCCUUUACAGUACAGUAGAGAAAUCUGACUUGUUCGACUGCCCUAUCUGAGAGUCCAGGAGUCUCCAUCUGCUGUCUAUAAGCCACUCCACUGAGAAUGAAGGGAAGAAAGGGCUGCUAAUCUGGUGAAGAUGUUGCAAUACUGGGCAGCUAGAAUGAAAGUUUCCAAAGUACAAAGCAGUGAAGGAAUGAAAUGGUAUAUUUAGGAUCCAGAGUCUACUGUAAUAGACACCUGAUAAAUGCAUCUGUUUACGUAAAAAGAAACAAGAUUCUCAAAGUGAGGUAUCUUUUAUUGAACAAACUUACAUAGUUUGGAGAUGAGCUUUUCAGGUUUUGAGUGCCCUUCAUCAGGUCUGGAAAAGAAGCAAUCACUGUGCAAGAGCAGUUGCUUUACUUCAUUCUAAUCAGAUUAAUAAUUUUGACCCCUUGAAGUCCUUAAAUUCACCUGUGGACAAAAGACAAAUUAGCAGAGGGAGAGAGCAGUUAUAAUGAGUCUUAAAGCCAGUGUCUCUUUUAAAUCCAUGUUUUUUGAACUCUAGUAGAUGUAUGAAUUUCUGUUUCCAGACUUGUGUUUUGAAGGUAUUUUGCAGGCUUUCUUUGAAGACAAGGAAUAUGAAGUCAGAGAGAGAGAGAGAGGUUUUUUUGAGGAAAGUGUUCUCCUGGUUAUAGAGUUUUUCUGUCCUUUAUCUUCUUUUCUGUGGGAAUGCAUUUUCUGGAAUGUGGUUACAAUUUGGUUUUACCCAUAUAGUUUCCCUGAGGGCGUGUAUGUAUUGAAUGUGGUAUAGCAUAUGAUGUGAUAGGCAUGUGUAGGAUCCAUGGAAAUCGAUGAUUUUGUUGCAGGAAGUGUUGACUGUAGCACUUCAAGAAAGGAAGAAAGUGACACUAUAUAAAAGCAGUGGUACUUUUACUAGAGAUGCUCUGUGUCUGAUUAGUUUACUCUUGUAACUAUUACUAUAUACUAGUACUACAGUAGUCUUGGAGAUUGCAGUGUGUUAGGCAGUGUAUGCACAAAGCUUAAGAAAACAGUCCCAAACAACUAACAAUCCAAAUAUCCCAGACAAAGGGUGGAAGAAAGGAGAUGUUAUGAUCCCCAUUGUAUAGAGGGGAGAAAUGGCUGAAUGGGAAACUACGAAUUUGCCCACCAUUAUUCAGUAAGUGUGUUGUAGAGGCAGGGAUUAAAAUAAGAUCUCUAGAAUCCUAAAUGAGUGCCCUACCUGCAAGGCCAUACUUGUUAAAUCUCUUGGAUGUCACCUUGUAUUGCUCUGGUUUUAUAUCCGCAUAACUCCAUUGAUUUGCAUUGUUACACCAGUGUAAUGAACUGAAGACUUGGAUCUUGUAUAUCUGCAAGGCACUUGGAACGGACUGUCUUUACCCACAAAAACCAUAACACAUGCUAAGGGCAGGGCUUCCUUAUUACUGUUUGCAAAAUGAAAUAAGAUACAGUGUCUUAACCAGCUUGUCAGAGUGUUACAAAUGCAUGAGGAUCUGGAGAUGUUUAAUUUAAUUAGUAAAGUCAUACAUUAGGAUUCCACCUGGCCAUUGAUAAAGGAUACAACAAACAGGAGAGCCAGGUUAGUUUAUUGGAUCUGUUGCUUCUGUAUCCCUGAACUGCUAUGGAUCUGACCAUAGCAAAUCUCAUAGUAAGGAACUCUCUUUUUUAUGUCCAGAAAGGAAAGGGUCGUCUCCUGGGUUUUUACACUAUCUGGUAAGAACAAAGAGCUGGUUAAAAUUUUUAAAAUGUUCAUUAAAAAGAAACAACAUAUUUUUAGUUUUCACACAUCAAAAACAACCAACCAAAGAAGAAAAGGGGGGGGGGGGUGUUAAACUGUAAUGGCUCAGUUUUAAUGAACAUGUGAAAACUUUUAAAGAUAAUUUUUUUUUUUUAGAUCUUCAGCAUGUUUUUUGGGGGGAACCAUUGCUUGGCCAGAGCUAAGUACAGUUCCUGACCAUUGACAAGACUGUCCCUUUUUAAGCAGGAUAAAAUCCAGUUGGCAUAAUGCAGCUUUGUUUCUUUAUUUAUAUGUAGAGUCUGCAAAUGUAGUAUAUAGAGAUGUCGUUUGAUGUUAAGCUCCUUAAAUUGAAUUUUCUAGUUUACCUCUGAACUAUUAUUUCAGAUUCAUCAAAUGCUCAUUCAUUGAACUCUGAGGUUCUUCUUUGGUACUAGAAAAUACUGAUUGCAUUGUUGUCAAAGUGAAUUCCUCCACAAAUAAUGGAGUAACAGUAAAUGUAUCAAGGGGUUGUUGAUUAAACCUUCUUCAGAA